rnacentral:rRNA from 1 species
GACGUAAGGGGCCAGCGUUGCUCGGAAUUACUGGGCGUAAAGGGUUCGUAGGCGGUGUGGCAAGUCUGGGGUGAAAUCUCCAGGCUCAACUUGGAGGCUGCUUCCGAAACUGCCGCGCUAGAGUGCGAGAGAGGCCAGUGGAAUUGCAGGUGUAGCGGUGAAAUGCGUAGAUAUCUGCAGGAACACCCGUGGCGAAGGCGGCUGGCUGGAUCGCAACUGACGCUGAGGAACGAAAGCUAGGGGAGCAAACAGG